UGUAAUUUGUCGCUUAACUAGAUCUCAUAACCUUUACCUUCUUAUUGUUCUCUACUAUUUGUAGUCACUUUGAAAUCUGAAAUUGCAUAUGAAACUACUUAUUUUUUCACUAUGUAUUGUUUUGAAAUAGAUUGGCUUUUAGUUUUUACUUUUUAAACUCUUAUUUUUUUAGAUUAACCAUCUGUACCAAGAUUAAUUGCUUUCAGCUCUAACAUAAUUGAUUUCAUGUUUGCCAUCCAUUGUUAAUUACUACUAUACGAAAUGGAGAUGCAUGUAUUAAAUUAUUUUUUGAGUAUGAUAAUCUGUCACUUAAAUAAUGUCUUACUCAUUGUCAAAUAAUGCUUUUUUUUAAGAUGAAAUGAUUAUCUAAUACUAUAAAAUUUAUUUGUUUAGGUUUCAGACGCAUCUAGCGCUCGUAAUAUUCAUCCACAACCUCAUUGCCCUUCAGGUUCAACAUCUUAAUUGCCGAGCUCAUUACAACCGGAUCUGAUAUGAUAUUAUUAGCUUUUGUUUUUAUUUCUCCUUCUCUUGGGUUGAAAAGUUAGUGAUUAUUGGUACUGUGAUUUAGUGACUAAAUACUCGUUUAAAGAUAUAUGGAUAAUACUUCGAGACAUUUUGGUAUUAAUUUGUGUAACUACAAAAUUUCUUUUAUAUGCUUU